UGGGAUUAAUCUUUUGAUCACUCUCAAAGAACCUUUUGAUUUCUAAGGUAUAAUUAUUUGUGCAGCUUUAGUAGUAUAUUUAGAUAUCGUGUAACAGUGUACACAAACACACAAAAAGUGUUUGCACGAUAUUGAAAUCCUCUUGUAAUUCUGCAUACAUGCAUGUACACAGGAUGCCAUCCACACUAAUCCAAGCUUCGUAUUUGUAUUUUAUUGCAUUAGGUGGAUUUGCUAGGAGAUGAACUGGAUCUACUUUUUGGGUUGCUUGAGAAGAUCUAUAUCGCACUGGAUCACUAUUCACCAGUUUUGCAGCAUUAUUCUGGGAUAACUGAGGUCUUAAGAAUGAUUAGGAGAGAAAUAUACGGUGAAGUGGCUAAUACAUCCAGGCAGUAACAACAGUGCUUUCUUCUUCUGCAAUUAUUUGCACAUAUCAUGAGCAAACAUAUGCUCAGAAAUAUUAUCUCAGAGAAUUGGGUAUGAGAUGUCACUUCUCAUCAAUCCAGUGAUGGAUAUAAGCAUACAUGAGCCACUGCAAAGCUCAGCUGCUCCCUAUGUUGAAGAGGACAGACACACUGAAACACCAAACCCAAAUUAAGAAGCCAAUUGAUCUCCAAUCAACAAAACAAGAAGCAAACAAGCAUUGCAUAUGGAGAUCCCUGAAGCUUCCUGGUAGAUGAUAGAUAUAUCAAAGCCCUAAAUUUGAUGCCUUCUCAACUACAAUACUAGUUUGAUAUAUGUUGAAACCAGCUGCAGUAAUCUGUAAUGUGGCUUAUCUUCCAUUGAGGCAAAACUCCUGUUGAAGUUAACCUUCAAAGGUGUGGUGGCACAAAUUGAUGUAGAAAAUAGU